UACGGAGGGUGCGAGCGUUUGUCCGGAUUUAUUGGGUUUAAAGGGUGCGUAGGUGGCUUUUUAAGUCAGUGGUGAAAUACAGCCGCUCAACGGUUGAGGUGCCAUUGAUACUGAAGAGCUUGAAACAAGUGGAGGCUGCCGGAAUGGAUGGUGUAGCGGUGAAAUGCGUAGAUAUCAAGAGGAACACCUGAGGCGAAGGCGGGUUGCUAGGCUGACACUGACGCUGAGUGCGCGAAAGCCAGGGGAGCAAACGGG
rnacentral:rRNA from 1 species